UACGAAGGGGGCUAGCGUUGCUCGGAAUUACUGGGCGUAAAGGGUGCGUAGGCGGGUCUUUAAGUCAGAGGUGAAAUCCUGGAGCUCAACUCCAGAACUGCCUUUGAUACUGAGGAUCUUGAGUUCGGGAGAGGUGAGUGGAACUGCGAGUGUAGAGGUGAAAUUCGUAGAUAUUCGCAAGAACACCAGUGGCGAAGGCGGCUCACUGGCCCGAUACUGACGCUGAGGCACGAAAGCGUG
rnacentral:rRNA from 1 species